GAAAAACAUUAUGAACACGAGACAUACUUGGAGGUAACGCGAGUCUAUAGGCUACAUUUCCUACUCGAUCAAGAAUCUGAAAUGGACCAAUAAAUCAUGGAUUGAGCUUUCCUCUCUUCCCGAAUCUUGUAACUCCCUUCCAUGGAGCAACACGCAAUAAUACAUGAUCCCUAAUACUAAAUUCCACGUCCUUUCGAUGAAGAUCCGCAUAACUCUUUUGUCGAUCUUGUGCCGUUUGUAUACGUUGUCGAAUCAUUUGGAUCUUUUUUGUAGUAAUACAUACCAACUCUGGUCCCAAUAAUGUUGCUUCACCCA
rnacentral:lncRNA from 1 species